GCUAGUCGACGAGUUCACACUCGUGGCAGAUAGCUCAGUAACACGUGGCCAAGCUACCCUUCAGUCGGCAAUACCCUCGGGAAACUGAGGCUAAUGGCCGAUAUGAAACAGUCGCUGGAAUGCACUGUUUUCUAAAGACACCGCUGAAGGAUGCGGCUGCGGCCGAUUAGGUAGACGGUGGGGUAACGGCCCACCGUGCCAGUAAUCGGUACGGGUGAUGAGAGUCAGAGCCCGGAGACGGAAUCGGAGACAAGAUCCCGGGCCCUACGGGGCGCAGCAGGCGCGAAACCUUUACACUGCACGGAAGUGCGAUAGGGGAAUCCCAAGUGCGAGGGCAUAUUAGCCCUCGCUUUUGUUGACUGUAAGGUGGUCAACGAAUAGGAGCUGGGCAAGACCGGUGCCAGCCGCCGCGGUAAUACCGGCAGCUCAAGUGAUGUCCCAUAUUAUUGGGCCUAAAGCGUCCGUAGCUGGCCACCCAAGUCCAUCGGGAAAUCCACCCGCCCAACGGGUGGGCGUCCGGUGGAAACUGGCUGGCUUGGAACCGGAAGGCUCAGAGAGUACGUCCGGGGGUAGGAGUGAAAUCCCGUAAUCCCGGACGGACUACCGAUGGCGAAAGCACUCUGAGAAGACGGCUUCGACAGUGAGGGACGAAAGCUAGGGUCUCAAACCGGAUUAGAUACCCGGGUAGUCCUAGCUGUAAACGAUGCUCGUUAGGUGUGGCACCCACUACGAGUGGGUGCUGU
rnacentral:rRNA from 1 species